rnacentral:rRNA from 1 species
UACGUAGGUGGCGAGCGUUGUCCGGAAUUACUGGGUGUAAAGGGCGUGUAGGCGGGAAAGCAAGUCAGAUGUGAAAUACCGGGGCUUAACCCCGGGGCUGCAUCUGAAACUGUUUUUCUUGAGUGUCGGAGAGGAAAGCGGAAUUCCUAGUGUAGCGGUGAAAUGCGUAGAUAUUAGGAGGAACACCAGUGGCGAAGGCGGCUUUCUGGACGACAACUGACGCUGAGGCGCGAAAGCGUGGGGAGCAAACAGG